UACAGAGGGGGCAAGCGUUGUUCGGAAUUACUGGGCGUAAAGCGUGCGCAGGCGGUUUUGUAAGUCUGUCGUGAAAUCCCCGGGCUCAACCUGGGAAUUGCGAUGGAGACUGCAAGGCUAGAAUCUGGCAGAGGGGGGUAGAAUUCCGCGUGUAGCAGUGAAAUGCGUAGAGAUGUGGAGGAACACCGAUGGCGAAGGCAGCCCCCUGGGUCAAGAUUGACGCUCAUGCACGAAAGCGUGGGGAGCAAACAGG
rnacentral:rRNA from 1 species